rnacentral:rRNA from 1 species
UGCGUAGGCGGUUUAUUAAGUCUAUGGUGAAAGUGCGGGGCUCAACCCCGUAUGGCCAUAGAAACUGAUAGACUAGAGUGCAGGAGAGGGCAAUGGAAUUCCAUGUGUAGCGGUAAAAUGCGUAGAUAUAUGGAGGAACACCAGUGGCGAAGGCGGUUGCCUGGCCUGUAACUGACGCUGAAGCACGAAAGCGUGGGGAGCAAAUAGGAUUAGAUACCCUAGUAGUCCACGCCGUAAACGAUGAAUACUAAGUGUUGGAGAAAUUCAGUGCUGCAGUUAACGCAAUAAGUAUUCCGCCUGGGGAGUAUGCACGCAAGUGUGAA